ACGCUGGCGGCGUGCCUAAUACAUGCAAGUCGAACGAGAGCGACCGGUGCUUGCACUGGCCAAUCUAGUGGCGAACGGGUGAGUAACACGUGGGUAACCUGCCCAUCAGAGGGGGAUAACAUUCGGAAACGGAUGCUAAAACCGCAUAGGUCUUCGAACCGCAUGGUUUGAAGAGGAAAAGAGGCGCAAGCUUCUGCUGAUGGAUGGACCCGCGGUGCAUUAGCUAGUUGGUGAGGUAACGGCUCACCAAGGCCGUGAUGCAUAGCCGACCUGAGAGGGUGAUCGGCCACAUUGGGACUGAGACACGGCCCAAACUCCUACGGGAGGCAGCAGUAGGGAAUCUUCCGCAAUGGACGCAAGUCUGACGGAGCAACGCCGCGUGAGUGAAGAAGGUUUUCGGAUCGUAAAACUCUGUUGUUAGAGAAGAACAAGUGCUAGAGUAACUGUUAGCGCCUUGACGGUAUCUAACCAGAAAGCCACGGCUAACUACGUGCCAGCAGCCGCGGUAAUACGUAGGUGGCAAGCGUUGUCCGGAUUUAUUGGGCGUAAAGCGAGCGCAGGCGGUUCCUUAAGUCUGAUGUGAAAGCCCCCGGCUCAACCGGGGAGGGUCAUUGGAAACUGGGGAACUUGAGUGCAGAAGAGGAGAGUGGAAUUCCAUGUGUAGCGGUGAAAUGCGUAGAUAUAUGGAGGAACACCAGUGGCGAAGGCGACUCUCUGGUCUGUAACUGACGCUGAGGCUCGAAAGCAUGGGUAGCAAACAGGAUUAGAUACCCUGGUAGUCCACGCCGUAAACGAUGAGUGCUAAGUGUUGGAGGGUUUCCGCCCUUCAGUGCUGCAGUUAACGCAUUAAGCACUCCGCCUGGGGAGUACGACCGCAAGGUUGAAACUCAAAGGAAUUGACGGGGACCCG
rnacentral:rRNA from 1 species